UACAGAGGGUGCGAGCGUUAAUCGGAGUAACUGGGCGUAAAGGGCGCGUAGGCGGUGAUGUGAGUGUGAUGUGAAAGCCCCGGGCUUAACCUGGGAAGUGCAUCGCAAACGACAUGACUGGAGUAGAUGAGAGGGUGGCGGAAUUUCCGGUGUAGCGGUGAAAUGCGUAGAGAUCGGAAGGAACGUCGAUGGCGAAGGCAGCCACCUGGCAUGAUACUGACGCUGAGGCGCGAAAGCGUGGGGAGCGAACAGG
rnacentral:rRNA from 1 species